UACGAAGGGGGCUAGCGUUGUCCGGAUUUAUUGGGCGUAAAGAGCGUGUAGGCGGCUGGGUAGGUCCGUUGUGAAAACUCGAGGCUCAACCUCGAGACGCCGAUGGAAACCCUCCAGCUAGAGUCCGGAAGAGGAGAGUGGAAUUCCUGGUGUAGCGGUGAAAUGCGCAGAUAUCAGGAAGAACACCCGUGGCUAAGGCGGCUCUCUAGUACGGUACUGACGCUGAGACGCGAAAGCGUGGGGAGCGAACAGG
rnacentral:rRNA from 1 species